rnacentral:lncRNA from 1 species
GGAAGGUGGAGCAGAAGCGCACGGCCUGGAGAAACUGCAAGUACCAGGGACUUAAUAGCUGGACAUUCUUAUCCCAAGUUACAGGCAUUUGAACUGGGGCCUCUGGAUAAGAGAACCAUCAAUCCCAGAGAGAAGAUGAAAAUAAACAAAAGAUCUCUAUUUCAUGGACUUGCUUAAGAAACUCUGGACUGAGGACUGGAGAAGUGGCUCAGUCUCUGGAGUGCUUGCCUGGCAGCAUGUCUGAGUGACUGGGCUUGCUCUCCAGCCCGCCGACGUUGGGAGUGGUGGCACGUGCCUGCUGAGGUGGGGGGCUGGAGGCAGUUAUGCUUUAGCCGCAUUGCCAGUCUCAGUGAAAGGAUGAAGCUGUGAAUGGCCCCACAGUCAUAAGGGCACGUAAACUCUAAGAUGUUUCUCUUCUUAUCACAUACAACUAUCAUACAUUCUUGUUCAGUGUUCAGAUAGGAUGUAUCUGAUUUCUUAUUUAUCUUAUUUCUUUCUCUGUUAUCAAUUUUCUAAGAACUACUGAUGCUCAUCCUCAAGAUUCAAGGAUUGGCACACUAUCUCUCUUAAGUUUCCACACUCAUAAACUUGUUUCUGGGCCACACUCUGCUAUACUCUUUCAAUUUUGG